UUUGUGUCACAGGGAAGAAGCCAGGAGUUCUGCAGGAGGCUGAGCACGAGCAAAGAAAGCAAUGUACUCACCCGAGCUUAGUGCAGCAGUGAGCAGACCUGAUGGACAGUGUCACAGAAACUUCUUCCCCCCCAGGAAUUUCUCAUGCCCCAGUGAAAACAGCCACAGUUACUGCCAGACUUCAAAUCAAUCCUUUACCAUCAUAAUUUGUUUUCAAGAGACAGUGAUUUACUACUUGCGCUUCCUAGCCGCUUCCAAAAAUAAUUUCAAGUAGAGGGUUUGCUGGGCUCAUGGAAACAAAUUAUCCACCUGUUAUAAAACAGGCAGAAAUGCAAAGAUCAAUUACAUGUGCCUGACUUGGUGGAGCUGAAGCUGGUUGAGGGACUGGACUAGUUCUGAUGCUCUCUGCUUGUUCUCUGUAGAUCUCUGUUCACCCCCCCUCCUUCUCUUCUGCGCGGUUAUUCUCUGUCCCUGCAUGAGGGGCUACCCCAGCUCCUGCCCCUUCUAUGCUGUGCAUCACCUUUUGCGUCUUUUCUCGUGAACAGCACCGCCUUCCCUUAGCUUGCACAAGAUGAUGUAGCCUACUGGGAAGGGAGAGGGGAAAGUUUCAUGAUUUUGAAACAUUUCCUGGACUGAAUCAUGAGUUUCCCCUCUGCUGGGUGUAGGACUGCAGCUGGGACCAGGACACGGUCCUCCACACACACCCAGAGUGUGGGGAAGGGCUCUUGUGAAACCCAGCCAUCUCCAACCUGGCAGCGGGGUGGACACAUCAGCUUCCCUCUGCUGGGGUCACCGGGUGCAGUUGACACGAUUCAUGGAAAUCCUGCGCGUGCUGAUUAAGGGAGAGUACAUUUUCUGGUUUGGCCAUUUCUGGGAACCUUUCAGACAAAGUACAACUAAGUGUACCAGGGGAAAAAACUUGCUCUUUGAGCUCUAGGGACUAAUUAGCAGCAGGAGGAAGGAAGAGAAGCAAAUGCAAACAGUACUGCAAGAGGCACGAAGCAAGGAGGAGUCAUAGGGCCCGUUUUUAGUGGGUUAGGAAAAAGAAGGGAGAGAAACCUUUGCACAGACUGAGUGGCAGAAAAAGCAGGACUGGGAGGGACUGGAGACUGAAACUGGCAGGGUGAUCAAAUCCCAGCUGAGGAGACUACUGGUGUCUGUACCUGUACUCCAGGUAUCUGUACUUGGAGUCUCCAAGGAGAGAAAAGCAGGGUCAAAGCAAAACUCUUGGGCUGAACUGACAGCUGCAUGCUGUGAUGAAGCACUUCUAUUUUGUGUUGACUAUAGUUAAACCCCACGUUCUCUGGCUGCUCAUUGUGGAGAUGAGGACGAUGUUCAGAAUGUGCUGCUCUGCUUCCUGACUCAUGGGGCUGAAAUUCAUCUUUUUGGAUGAGUAAAAGGGAUCGUUUGUUAUGCACACAGCAAUUUUUUUAGAGGAAGUUUCCAAAAGGUAUGAGUCAGUACAUGACGCCUAUUCUGAGAUGGAGCUGGGCAAGGUCAGGAAUUCGUGUCUUGCUGGAAGGGUAUGGAGCAUGACAGUUACUCGCUUGCUGUGUGCAAUGUUUUGAAGAUAUUAUAGAGCCUCUGUCUUGUGUUCACCACCUGUUGAGGGUAAUCCUGAGUCCAGCCCUCUAGCUGGAAGUAAAGCCUUAGGUACAUCUAGAGCCCCUUGCCUGGUACUCUCCUCCCAUCUAUUUUCUGGCACUCUGCAUGGCAAGAGGAGCAAAACGUGGGAUUUGAAGCAAGCUGUGCUGUCCCCUGCUCCAAGGUCAGGUCCUCCGCAGUGUUUUCAGACAGAUCCUCGCUGGUCAUGGUUCCUUCCAGCUGUUAGGAGGGGUAGAGUAAGACAGAAGAGCGGCUGAAGGGUUUGGGGGGCGUUAAAGAGUAAAUUGGGAAAGGGAAGGUUGGUGUUGCAAAGCAGAGGAGUCAGUGUGGGCACUGCGCUGUGCUGGGGCAUGGCGUAGGGUAGCAAGGGUUCACGUCCUUACAAGUUUUCAUGUAUCUGAAUCAACUUCAAACAGUAUCUGGUGCCUUUACACUUGCCAGAACAUUGAUUUCCUCUCCUCCAUGUCUAACUUGCUGUUCAUCAAAUUGUGUCUGGAAAGGAAGGCCCCAUCAAUUGCUGUUUGGACAUGUGGGAAGCUGGUUAUCCAACUUCCAAAAGCCCAGGCUUGUCAAUUAAAUUUGCUCCUUGUAGCCCUUUUUCUGUGCUUCCUUCUCAUUUGGUUUUUCAGUGAUGUCACCAAUACACUCUUGAUUUCCUCUCCCUAUUUCUGUAAUUCUCGCAUACAUUGAAUCUGAAUAAAUGCAAAAGUAAUAUUUUACUUACCCGUUUGUUCAGAAAUACGUAGAUGAUGGGCUUGUAGGCUCUGCUGCUUUUGGCAGGUUUGGGUGGGAGGAUGCUGGCUGCGGGAGUGAUGAGACCAGAUUCCUCACUUAUAGCUCUAAGUGCCACAGCUGCUUAUGGCAGCCAGCAAAGGAGAAAGCAAAUUGCCAUUGUCACCACCACAGCGACCGGGAUGCGCUGCUCCUGGGUCCGUCCCGUCCCUUUGCUGCUGCCGCUCACCUGGGUGGGAGAGAGGCACAAGUCUGCUGUUAGCACCGCUUGUGCUGGGAGCAGGUGGUGAUGCACGGGAGCUCCUGGAGUGGCUGUGCUAGGGGCAGGGUUGGAAGCAUCAUCUGGAAUGUUGCUGGCUGGAGAAGAGGCAGCUGAUGUGGGCAGAGUUUGCAUGUAAGGUACCCAAAGCGUGUGCGGAAUAGUUGGAAUAGGGUUAGCGAUAAUGCUGUUCAUCUAGAAUAGCCUUCUCCAGCUUUCUCUAAAUCACAGCAUCUAAUCUGAGAAUCCUGGGCAGGAGGGGAGAAGGGGAAGCCUGCCUUGGGCUAACUGGCCCUGGAGGACAGCUGGACCCAGUGCUCCCAGAAAGACUGCUUGUUCGAGUCCUGCUGGGAGUGAUGCACCCAGCCACGGAUGAAAUGCUCCAUACCCAGGGGCACUGAGGCAGGACAGGAGACAGGCAAGGCCAUGAAGAACAAGGGGUUUGGAGAAUUUUCUCUCCUGAAUCUAUUGGAAAAGUCAGCAGUUGAAUUCAACUGAUUUAUAACAGGCUCCUUCUCCGCACUUGGGGCUCAUGCGUACUCCGAAGUAAAUCACACCAUGUAUAAAUAUAGCUGCGUCAUCCCUCACCCUUGUUUCCUAGUUUUCAGUAUGUUUUGAAAAUUGGACCUUUUACUGAUCGCAGUGCAGAUAUUACACAAUAAAGUGCUGCAGUAAGCAUGAGAAACUAACCAUUACGAGCAGUUUUAGGGGGAAUCCAGCGGGAUGUAUUUGUGUGCUGGAAGUCACCUUGAGACUAAUUAAAAAACCCAACCAAAACUGUUCAAAAAGUAGAACAUAUCUGUAAUUGCCUGCUGAGGGAGCUCGAAUACCAAGUACUUUAUAAAUUUCCUCUUAAUGUGCAAAUGAAAUCUUUUAUGACACUUGUCUGAUUUAAAAGAAAAAAAAAAAAAAGUGGUAUUUGCCACUAGGCAAAUAAAGUUGUUAAUCAAAAUAUUUCUAUUAGUGAGAAGUGAAUAUUUCACUCAGAGACACCCACAGGCAUCAGUAGCUCAGAUUUAUUCGCAAACAUCUCCGGCAGAAAGCUCACAUUUAUCUUCUUGUGUUGUAUUUUAUGGAGUUGAUACGAAUUCUGUAUGACAUCUUCCUUGCUUUCGGAUUUUUUCAAAAGUCUGCCAUGGCUUGGUGUAAAACUUUACAGAAUGCUCAGGCUGUGUGAUAAAGUAGAAGCAGCUGGGUUGGGGCACACGCAUAUGGGGAUGGAGGUGAAAGAGUUACAUUUUGCAUCGUGUGCACUUGGUUUUUAGGCUCCUGAGAAGAGGCAGAGAAAGGCAUCGGCAGCUGGCUGCCAGUGUCCUUUAUCCCCACACAAAAUCCCAGUUUCUUUGUGCCUUCCUGAGACCCUCCUGCCCGCCCUCCCAUGCCAGGAGACACCCAGGCGGGUGGUGGGUGAUGGCUUGCGAGUGGUGCCCCUUGAGGAAAACCAAAGCUCCUUUUUUCCGCCCCCCCCCCAAUUGAUUUCUAUUGAUUUUAGCAAAAGCAACCCAAGAACCCUUUCCUCUUCCUUCAGAUAGGGUCAGAGAAGGCAAAUGCUUUCUGGGUGUUUUCCAGAUAAAAAUCAGCCUGGUCGGAGGCUGGCCAUGAGAGUAGGGCUCUGGAGGUGCUUCAUGUCUGAUAACCUUUAGGAGAGCUCAGUCCCAGGGCAGCUGCUAUGAUGCCUGGGCUCCAAAUCUCUUUCUGAAUAUCCUGAAGCAGCGUGAGAUGCAGCUAACGGGGGAGCUGCUUUGUGCCGCUGGGUUGAACGCUGACGCCAAGCCAGUGGGGUACUUCUGGUGGUGCAUGUUCUAGCAGCGCUGUGCGCCCUUCUCAAGCAAAACUGUAUUAUGUAUUACUCUCUUUACUUCUAAAUAUUUUAUCCUUUCCUAAAAAAAGAAAAGCUUGCAGUUCUCAGACUGAUGUUGCCAGGGAAUGGCUUCACAAGUAAGCAAGGAAAGGUUUUAAUUUCCUUGCCAGCAGUAGGAAAUUAUUAUUUUCAUCCUAUGAGGCCAAAAAGUUUGAAUAUCCUCCCACUUCUGUAAUUCUCCUUGAAGCAUUUUUGCUUUCAAUUACGAGGCUCCCCGGUCAAUGAAGGAAACCUGAGCCCUUGAUAUUAAUAUUCAAGUCGCAUGGCAGAAAACUUCUGCAGAACUAAAACUCAGCAACCUUGAAAUUUAUUUUUUUAAAAUCUUUAGGAAUUUUUUUUCCUAAUGAUUUCAAAAUAAAUAGAAAAUCAUUGAAUUUUGAAAUGUUUGAAAUCAUUAGGAAAUGACGACUUAUAUAUACCACACAGAUCCAGGGCUGCACCCAGACUUGCCACCAGAUCACCUCCUGUGCAUGGACAAAAGCAAAGAGCUGUGUGAUGCUGAUGAGUGGUGCUGUGGGCUUUUAGUUUGAUUUUUGUCCUGAUAACUUCCAGGGAAAGUCAGAGCACAAACCUGACCCAGGUAGCUUGUCUGGAGUCGCUGGCCCGGGGAGGUUGGGACGUCAGCCCAGGUUGGUUCUGGCUCGGGGCUGAGCAGCGCUGCUGCUGCGGCAGUUCAGCACAGGGUUACCCUGGCAGUGCACCGAGCUGCUGUAGAGUGUGCUUCCCUUCUGGUUGGGUCAAAAAUCUAAACCUCAAUCUGCUGUGCGAGAAAUAAAAAUAAUAACAAAAAAAUUCUCACUAUUUCCGUAGGUUUUGGUACAGAAAAAAGCCACAGAAAAUGUGCUUUUAUAGCUUUAUGUUUUCUUUGCUGGAAACUGAGUCUGUUUCUCCUAAAAAUGAUCUUUUCAGUUUUCUAAAAUGUAUGAUGUCUCUGUAUCACUCAUUCCAUAUGUUGCACAUGUGUUCCAGUAUACCGAGUUAGCAGGAUUGGGGGGUUCAUCUCCAGCCUAGCUGGACGCCCCGGUCACAUCUUGCUCUUCCAGUGGUGUUUUCACAUGCUUCCCGUAGGUGUUCAUUUUUACAUGCAAAAAGAACAAAAAGGUCAGGAAUAGCUGGGAAUCUCUGCAGACACCUGCCGUACCCAGCUAAGGUCCUGAUGACCACGUUUCUCCUGGGCUCUGUUCAGCGCCCGGUCCCCGCCAGGGGCAGGCGGUGAGGGCUGGCGUUGGGAACCAUCGCUGAGCGGUGGAAAGGCAGUUUCCUGGUGGGCUGGAGUCACAUUCCAUGGCAAUUAGGUGAGCAGAGGGAAGGUUAAUGUACUGGGAACGUUACUGUGCAUUCGUUUUGCCUGUAAGCUGUCCUUUUUGUCUGAGAACUUACUGCAACAGUCUUCACCGUGCCAUUUCCAGCUAAAACUCAACUGAAACCUGAUCACAAAGAUGCCCAGCGCUGGGGCCAAUGAAGUAUUUGAUCUCUUACAUUAUACAGGCGUUUCUAUAUGAGCUGGUGGAAUAUAUACUCUCCUAAUGCAGCCCAUUACUUCAGGGGUUGCUGGAUGCAGCAGCAAUUUGCUCUGCCUGUUUGCCUCUGCCUGGGGUGUUAUAAACCAUGACGUGCCUGUGCUGUGUUUAACUUCUGCUGUUAGACAGGGUCCAUGGCAGAGAUGGCUGUAGACGCAGGAGGACAGUCCCUGUGCUGAGAUCUAUCACUUAAUAGCUAAGUAACUUCAUGUUCUCUACUCUAGAGGAGCAGCUAGGAAUAGUGAUUCAGUCUGCAGAAGUGAUUAUUAAUCAGUUGGUGGUUGGGGUUUUUUUUGUCCAUUGACCGUAAUGGGAAACUUACACAUCCAUCUUCCUAGCGUAGGAGCAGAAAUGCUCACAAGUACAGUGUUUGCGUAGUGUGGCACUGGGUGCCACAGACAGGGUAGGGCAUGGAUGAGAGACUAAUGCAGCAAACAAUAAGAACAGGUUUAAAUAGAGGUCACUGUGGACACAGCAAAUUCCUCCUGGCUGAUAUUGCUGACGCACACUGUGCAGAAAUAAUGGAGUCAUCACAUUGCUAGGAAAGUAAAAUAUGCGUUUUCAGCAAUGGAUAUGGAAAUGGCUCAGUAACAUCCAGGAGUGGAGAGCACAGCUGAGUAUACCCAUGGCUGCUCGGGAAGUUUAGUCACCAAGCUCUCACUCAUUCCUGCAUCCCCAGGAUGAUCUGAGGAUCUCAGCUGAGUGACUGACUAUGUUUUCUCUUGCUUUUUAUGAAACCACCACAGUAUUUAGGGCUUGGAGAGGUGACGAGGACACUCACAGGACUAGGAGGAUGAUCCUUGUGAAAAGUUGCAAUAAAGGGAGAUGGGGGCUUGGGGAGGAAGCAGUUAACCAGACUGGGUAUGUGAUGGCCUCAGUGCACCAGCUGAGGCCCCUGGCUUGUGUGAGCAAAGCUGCCAGGUGGCACAGACCCCUCUGAGCUGUGGCAGCGGCUGCACUACCUUCGGACGUCGCUGCCUGUUCAGCAAGAAAUAGUGCCUGAGAGCUACGAAAUCAGAUAUACCCAGUUAUACUCUGCCCUGGUGAAUUAAUAGCUGCAGUUACUUGAAUACAUACUAGAGAACCAGACUAUAACGUUAUCAAGUUGCAAUUAAAUUGCCUUGUCUGGACAUUAAAGGUCAAUCCAAUUUCUUCUAAGGUGGAUGGGAGACUUCCUGAUGGUCCCUGCACAUCACUUUAUGCCCUACUUUUACAAAGUGAUAAAUGGAGGUAGUGGGUUUGCACUGGAUAUGUUGAGUGCUUCAGGGGAACCUCUGAAGUGCUCCUGUGCUGUCUGUUCUUGGUUGAUGCUCAUAACUUGGGUCAGGAAAUCUAUGGAUAUGCACAUUAAUAUAGCUGUGUAUUGCUUGGAAAGAGCUAUGAGGUGCUUAACAUGGCAUCGGGUGUAUCCUGUGCACAAAGCAGGCUCCCAGGGGAGUCUGGCGUGUGGGGACAGGAGGUCCAGAGUCCAUGAGAGCAGCCUAACUCUGCAAGCAUGGGCAGAAGAAGAAAUGGAAGCCCAGCAGAAAGCUUCAAACAGUAAGUCAACCAACUUACAGAGGAAAGAAGUAAGCCUUGGAAGCUAUUGCUGGGGCUUAAUGAGAAUUUUCUUGAAGGUCUGAAACAGCGGGCAGUGAUAUGGUAGCUGGUUUAACAGCAGCUUAUGGUUUCUCCAAAUAAUAAAAAAAGGUUUUGCUUGGAGAGGAAGUACUGUUGUUUAACAAGAAAAAUAAAUGGCUGAUGCUACCAUCCAGUAAUGUUGCAAGAUCAAGAUAGUUAUAUAGAUCAAGUUCCUUAUUUUUAAGGCAUUUUUUUUCUAUCCCUUUUAACAGCUGAGUCUUUGAAUUAUGCUUAAAAGCUUCUCACUGCAAUCAUAAAAGAUAGAAACAUUACCCAUAUUCACAAUGAAAAUAUUUUCAUAUAAUCUUAGAUUCAGAGCUUAGGCUUUCUUAAAUUCCCAUGCAUCCAGUGACUUGUCAUGCAAACAAGAGUGAGAAACGCAAGUUGCCAAGUUUGUGUUGUAUUUCCAUUUUAACGCUCAUCCAUGAGAGGAGUGCUUUGCUCCUGGCAGACCUUGUGCUUUUACUCAACAAAACAGAUUUUACAUCAGCGUAACAGCCUUGAACCCAGCAAGUCAAACUGCAGCACAGCCCAGGGAGAGGUCGCGGAGAGCAAAGCUGGAGACAGGACUUAAAAUUUGACUUGAGGCAAAAAGCAGCAACAGUGCUGGUUUGUCACUUGGAAACUUCUACCUCCCUGAUUUCCCAGUGUGCUGCUUAUCUGGUCUAGAUGCAGUAAAGUAACAAAUCACGAGGCUUAGCAACAUCAUUGUCCUGAUGGCAAAAACCCAAAUUCCUUCACCUGAGUCAAUGACAAACUUUUUCUAGUGCCCCUUGUGCAACACCACCCAAGAAAGGUCCCAGCUGGUUGGGCUUGUUGGGGUCCAGGUCUUUCCUAUGUGCAAGAGGGCAAUUACUAAGCCCCUCUGAGAUUUAUAUGCUUAUAUUUCUGGAUGCUGGUUCCUUGGGGGUGCGUAAUUCCUUGUAGAAGCUGUGACAUGGAAGAGGUUUCUCAGUCCUCUGAAAGUCACAAAAAAGCAGAGCCUCACCGCUCUGCCUGGGGUGAGACUGGGAGGCUCCUCUGGCUCCUGCUGCAGCCCGAGCAAAGCUGUGCUAGUGGUGGGGAGCGGAGAUGGAAAGUGAUUUAAAAUAGUUGGUAUUAGUUUCAGGAGCAAAAAAUGGAAUUAUUCUCCAGGUUGGGAAACCUUCCCCGGGAGUUCCAGGAAGGAAGCGAGCGUCUCUGCAGGUGGCAGGUGGAGGGCUGCAGACUCUCGCAGUAGCAGUUGCACGAUUCUUCCAUGACCGCAGCAUUCUUGGCACUUGGUUUCUUGCCUAAGUGUAAUUUUUAUGGAUAAUAGAACACCUUGUGCACAAGGAGGAAUAAAACAUCUGUAAGAUAUUGCUUUUGCCUCAAAGUGCUAAUUAAUUUCAACCGGAAUUCCAUCCAUUUUUUAUUUUGCAAAAGAGAUGUAGCCUGAGGGAGCUGAGCCUCAUGUUUGCAUUUGCUUGGGAGGUGCUCUGCUCUCCCGGCUCCAGGUUUCCAGUCUCACCUACGCUGCCCCUGUGCCAGCUUCUUCCCCAAAGCAGAGAUUCCAGAGCGAACAUCGAUGAAUUACGCAGCUGGAAGAUGGCACCCUCUCUUCCAAGGGCAUGAGAAAAAGAAAUCUUCAACCAGAUGAACCCAUUUUUUUAUUACUGAAGUUUGAUAAUAGUUUGUGCAAGUGAUCUAUUUUUCCAGCCAAACAUUGAUUUUUCCGCCUCCCUUGCCUUUUUCCUAUGCUGUUUUACCUUUUGCUCUCUCAGUUACUGAGGCACAACUUGGGCUGACCUGAGCAUCUCAUCCCUUCUGGGAUGCUGUUGAGACUGCCACCUCACUUGGCUGGGCUACAGGGGAAGGGAGCCGGGUGACAAAUGUUAUGACCAUUCAUGAUGUGCAGAAUAUCUUGUGCUCCUGAAUCCAACUAAUACUUAUGCAUCAAAUAGUAUUUAAAACCACAUAACUUUGACCCUAAACGCAGUGGACUAUAUGCAUCUUGUAUUUUUUAUAUAUACAUAUAUGUAGCAAUAUAUAACAAUAUAUAAUUAUAUAUUAUAUACAAUAUAUAAUGAUAUAUAAUUCCUUAUAUUAAACGCAUGUACUUUAAUGAGUUUGGUUUACACCAGAAUAUCCCCAGUCUGCCCGUUUGUACGGAGGGGAUGCUGACAGCUCUCUUAUGGUGGGUCCAGAGAAAAUUUUUGACCCUGGGGCUGUGCUCUUGGUGCUGCCCAGCUCUAAGAAUUGGGUGAUUUGUCUCCACAAAUCAUCUUUUUUCCAGUAAAUGAAGGCUGUGGAAAAAUCUCCUGUGGUAAGUGUAUUAACAAGGAUGAUACUAUGGAAAUUUGCUGAAAAGCACUUAAAGCUAGCUGUAACCAGAAGAAGGUGGUCUCGGGCUGUGUGCUGUUGGAAGGGGAUCACACAGCCCCUGCAGGGACCUUCACGGUGCAGGCAGACGGAUCUGGCCCCACCGUUACAGAGCACCUUCUGGAAGCUGUGGUUUCCAAUAUUAAUGCAGACCUCUGGCAAAGCUUAUAGGAAGGCAAGAGGGGAGAGAGAGAAGAAAUCCAUUUCCAGCUGCUGUGCCGGGGUCUUUCACCUCUGCUAUAGUAAUUUUGUCUCAUCUCUGAGGGGGUUUGGAGGGUCCCAGAUGAGUAAUAGUAAGGGCCUGUGCUGUGCAAGGCAGAGUGCUCUGUGGCUGGGACGUGCCCGCAAAGUUCUCACAGCAUCACCUGAUUUCAGAUUAAAAUGUAAAUCUAAAUUCAGGUCCUCACUGGCUUUUGUAAACACAGAGGUCUCCAUAACUGUCAGGAGAGGCCUUGUCAUCCUAUAAAAGGGGUUCAUUAUUCAUUUUAAAUAUCAGAAUAUUAAAACAGUUCCUCGUGGUUGAUGUUUGCAAAAGCGUGUGUACAAGCGCGGGUGCGGUGCAGUGCUGCUGGGAGGUUUCUGGGCUCUACGUGUGGCCUCGUCCCUCUCAUACUGAGCGUUCUGUAACACAGCGAGUGUGUUUCUAGGCGGUGGGGCUGUGUAAAGCAGAAAAUAUUUACAGUUUGAAGGAAGCAUGUCCUUUGGAGUUAUUAAUCUGCAUACCACAUCUGUCAGUGAGAAUAAAUAUUAAAAUACUUCAGCACUACUUAUGUUGGCACUGGUUUGGUUCCCCUCCUUCUGCAUCUUUCUUUGAUGCUUUGUAUCAGCAACGACUGCGGUGAGAGCAUGUUCUUCUCAUUGAGAGUGGAGGUUUUCUCAAACACUACGUGAUUUCUAGAUAUAAAAUCAGCUAUUAGCAGAAUAGGAGACUCAGGAUAUGUCUGAGACCCAAGACUGUCUGGAGUGUCCUUGGGGUGUCCAGGUGGGCAGGGUCAGUCCUGGCAUGCAGCAAAGCCCAGACCUGGUGGCUGCUGCCAGCCAUGAGGAAGGGUGACCUGGUCCAGGGGAGCAGGAGACCUUGUGCUGGUCUUCCAGAGAGCACAGGCAAUAGCUGCGCUCCAAGAUGGGUGUGUUUUAAAAGCAAAUUAAUUGAAUUAAUUGUACUGACUACUGCAGUACAGUACCAGUGGUGCUUUGAUUUGUCUGCAAUAACAGCCAAGUAUAUCUGUGUAGCAGCUCUGUGCUGAUGUGCACUCUUAAGUGGGACCUUUGCAAUUGCAGAGUGUCUCAAAUAAGACUCUUGGGCUCCUCUGUGUGGAGUAUUUUCAGUGCUAAACUUCUCCCAGGGAAAAGGGAGCCCUCUCUGUGAAUCCAGAGAGCUGGCAACGUAAGUACCAGGACCCUGGUAUUUGAUCCUUUGGGGGUGAAACCUGGCUGCUGGCAUGGAAAACCCACGGUGUUUGGGGUAGAGCUGCAUUGGCUCGAAAUGGCUCUGUGCUCUGGGUUAGCGGUCUGCUCUCCUUUCAGUCCCCUGUGGAUCUACUCGUAGUUGUCUGAGCUCGAGGAGCAAGUGGGAGCCCCUUUGGGUGCAGCUCGCUGUCAGGGCAGGGAGGUCAGUCACGGUUCUCCUGUAAGGGCGAGCGAGUGGGGCUUGCUCCCCAACUAGAAUUUUUGUGAUAUUUUUCUCUGCUAGCACUAGGAGAGCUGUCAUUAGACUGAGGAUUGAUGGGUGAGGGUGCUCUCCCAAGGCAGCUGCUCAGCAAGGGCUGUGGCGAGGGGGCUUCUGUGGAGGGCGAUAGGUGGGGUUUGCUUGCUGAGCAUCCUCGUUAAUUUUUGGUUCGCCUAGUGAUAAAAUGCCUUCAUCGUGGGCGCAGGUCUCUCCCUUCUCUUUCCCACAGCGUGCUGUCCCUGCAGGUGAGGUGGUCACAGGGUGAAACCCAGGGCAGCGAUGGAGCAGAGAACAGGAUGGGCAGGAACGCUGCCUGGUAGGGUAGCACAGCAAGGGAUGGGAGCCUGGGCUGGCCCUGCAGCCCCGUGGUACGCAAAAGAGUGUCACAAAUUGCCAGUGGAGGAGGAAAACGUGGUUUCUGGCGCUGGUGGGUGCCUGCUGUGGGAAGGAGAGCGCAGCUCAGCCCGCGGGGCACGGCUGCUCCCUGCUGUCCUGCUGCCUGGAACUGCUCUGCAAAACGGCUUCCCCAGCUGCAAAUGGCUCAGCGCUUGGCCUGGGAGUUUGUAAAGCAGUAUUUGAGUUAGAGGAGGAGAAAGAAAAAAAAAAAAAAAGGUUAUUCACUGGUGCUUUGUUUUCAACUAGAAAAAAUCCUUGGGGUGUUAAUCAGGUAAGUGACUGCUGUUGGACAAAUCUCCAUGGUGCACAUAUGCAGUGGCAGAGCACAAGGUAUCUCCCCUCCAGCUCUUUGGGGACGCUGAGGACAGUGGCUGUGCCCUCCUUCAGAGCAAAUCCCACAGGGAAUCACAGUGCCCAGGGGUGGAAGUGUUACCCCUUGUUUCAGAGCCACUAUGUGGCCUGUGGCCCUUGUUCUAUGUGUAUUUCAUGUUCACGUAAACAUCUGAUAUUCCAGUGCCUGUGGUUAUUGCUGUUGAUGGAACAGCUGCUCCAGCUCUGAGAAGGAGCACUUACUGCAGGGGGACCUGCAGCAGAGAUGAACCAAGUGUGGGCAGCAUUAAUAAUGAACCAAGUACCAGCAGCUCUAAUGAGCAGAGCUCCUGCUACUGUUCGAGUGGGGACAUGUAAAGGCAUCCCAGAGUUAUGUUUUCACUGGGCUUGAAAUCAAAUGAAGCAAAGGAAACCAACUCCUUAGUUAUUUUCUGCACGGGUGGGAUUUUUGUCGUUUCUGAAGGUGAUUGCUCUCUUCCAUCACCAGGGCUGCACCGUUACUGCAGGCUCCUCUGGGUUCAGCUGUCUUAAGACUGAUUUCUCCUAUCUGGCAUCUGAAGUGUUUCAGUGCUUAAGCUUUAAUGAUUCCUGCCUUUGGGAAUGUGUCUCAUGCCCAGUUCAGUCUCAUUUUGUUCUGGGUAAGCACUGCAACAGCGUUAAUAAUUGUCUAGAUAAAUGCUUGAGGACCAGUGUAAUUACCCUUUCCCCUUCUUGCCAGUGGGAGGGAAUUGCUGGAAAACAGUGCUGUUUUCCCCCAGUUUCCUCUGCUCCAGCUGUAUGAAACUAUUUCCCUAACAUUAGAAACUGUUGGACUUGCUAAUUGACAUAAUGAAAUUAAUAUGUAACACAUCAAAUGCCUUGCUGAUUUUUUUUUUUUUUUUCCCCUUUCUGGAACACUUCAGGAACCAAGGGGGCAGAGGGCUGAUGGAAAGCAUGCCUAGAUGCUGCUUUUUCCUGCCUUGCCUGUGGUUGCUGCCAGAGUGAGGAGGCUCAGAGGGGCCUGCAGUGGGUGGUGAGGACCGUGCAAGCCUGGACAUGCUUUCUGAGCCCACAUGUGGGUAUUUCCACCGCACAGUCCUUGACGUGCCUUUGGUCCACGUAGCCAGUGUGUCUGGGAGGUACAGGGGGAGGCAAGCCCCUCCUGGGCUCUGCCCGCUCGCCCUCCCCGUGCCGGUGGGCCAGCCUGCACCUUGGCAUGGGUGCUCAUGGUUUGGGCAUGGAUUUGCCCUGGGCUACUGCUGCUGGGUCCCUGGCUGGUGUGCAAGUGCCAGCUGGAGAACUGGAGAUGGGGCUGCAACCCUGCUGGAGAACCUGACCGCUGGCAGGCUUUGCUGCUUCACUGUGCUUCUCCUUUUCUCCCUGUGAGGAAGGAUGCUCUGGCAGGGUGGGACAGGAAGGGGAGCAGCAAGCCUGGAAACUGGUCGGAUUUGAAGGCUGAGGUGAAAGAUCAGCUAAACCUCCCUCAAGCCUCGGACCUUUGUGUCACUGCACUUAGGGUGGGUUUACACUGGUGUAACUCAGCCGGGGACAGGAGUCUGCAUGGAAGAGCCGAGUAUUGAGCCCAUGCACUAACCUACUAGGAUGAACGCUGGCAGGACUUCGGGGUCAUUUGUCAAGGAGAUGACAGAAGAGUAGCCUUCUGUCAGUGACUUAAGGGAAAAAAUCCAACCACACUGUAAUGCAGUGACAUAAAAGCUGGAAUCAAUUAUAUUUGCAUUCUGACAAUUCAUGUAAGGGGACUUUGCCAAGCUUGUCAAAGACUCUAAAUAAUGACUUUCUAAUCCCUGUGCUCAAAAAAUGAUUUAUCUGUUUCCAGUGAGCAUUUUUAAGGUUUCACGUGCUGACUACAGCUAUUCUGAAACCUGGUAGCAGAAUGGUUGUCUCCUGCAAGUUCCAUGGAUGCAAUACGGGAAUCGCUGCCUGUGUGUCGCUUUCAGUGAGUUGGUUAGUUCCACCGGGGCACUUGGGCUGCAGACCAUGUUUGACGAGAUGGUUUCACCAAGCAGGUACGUACUUGGCAUCUUUACACCCCAUGCCUUGGGUUGUGCGCACUGCUGAAACAUGGGCAUGGCCAUAAAGACCUCUUGCUUCUUCAGGACAUCCAGGAGCUCAGGGUGAACCUGGUGCUGCCUAUCAAGUAUCUGCUAGAAGAAGUCCCCAGCUAUCAUUUUUGGGAGAGCGUGGAUUGUUUGCAUCACUGAAGUUGUCUCUGAGAGUCUUGUCCAUGCACACCCUUUCUGUUGGCUAGAACGGUUUUGAAGCAGCAAUGUGACAGACACGACUGAGCUUUUCAAACCAGCCGUGGGGCUUUACAUGGAGGAUGCAUCCAGCUUUCCUGCGCUGCCCAGCCUCGUGUCCCAGAGGGUUUUCCCAGCUGCAAGCAGCUGCCGUUGUGCUUCACCCUGAGCACUGGAAUGGGUUAGCCCAAUGCCCGCUAACCCUGCUUGGGCUGCUAGGACCUCCUAGGGCACUGGGCUAGGCGAAAUAAGAAGCAGUGGUUGGAUUUGCUUUUCUGCUUCUUGCAGCUUGCUCAGCCUGGUUGCUGGCGGUCUCCCAGGCUCUGUUUCACUUCUGUCACUCUUAAUUUCUAAGUCGAUCUGAGCUGAGGGAUUACAGCUUCCCUGCUGUGGCAUGUAGUGUGGAUGAGAUCAUGUGUACUCAUCUGAAAAUACGUACUCAGCUAUAGGGGAAAUAAUAACGUGCUCUUGAGACUCUGCUAGCAAAGCUAAGGAAAUUACAAACCAUCCUUGCUCUUCGCAGCAGACCCCAGUCGGCAGGUUUCUGCUAGGAGCUCCCUUUUGAGAAUGGGACUGAGAAUGGGGCAAGGCAAUGCCAGCUCUCGCCCUCCCACUGAGGCGCUGCUGUGACAUCCCCCAUGCAGAACCUCAGGACGGAGAUGUAAACCCUUGCACCCCGCUGUCUGCCUCUGCACUGCAUCGUGCUUUUGCAGCACAUCAGCCUCCCCCCGGGUAAAGCAGCAGCCUUUGCUUUCACUGGGGUCCUGCGCAGUGCUUCACAGGGGAGGUAUGAAAUCGGUAUCCAGGCAGAUAGACUUCUCAGAAAGGAGAUAAUUAAAAGGAAAGUUCAAUGUUUUUGGAAACCUAAACCCCCCUCAUUUUCUGAUGGUUGUUUUCAGUAGUCAGAUUAGUUGCCAACAGCGCACUGCAUAUGUUCAGGCUCCUUUGGUACCCAUUUGAAUGGCUCAGAGCGAACCCUUUCCUCUGGCCAUUGCCUGCCAGCCUGAAAUGAGACCUGGGGGCAAAAAUGGGUCUGCUCUUAGUGAUGAUAGUUUUCUUCAGGUGUAAGGAAACUGAGCUUGAAGGAAGGCAGUAGGAUCUGCUAUCUGCUUGCAAGCAGCACAGGAGAACAUAAGAGCCUGACCAGAUUUCCAAGAUUUUAGGCAUCCCUGCAUAUGUCCUGUGAUGACAAUCAUGUCAGAAACCAGAACAUGAAAAUGCAAAUGUCAAGCUAAAGGACAUAGUUUUUCAUGCCUGGCUGAAAGCAAACACCCCAAUCUCCUGCCACGAUCCUGCGAGUGGUGCGGACAGCCUCAGUGAUGGGCAGCUGUUCACAGCAGGAGUUGAAAGCGCGAUAAAAGGCUUACAGAGUAUUGCCUAUAACUGGGGAUCUUCUAAAGCACCAAUGUGUGUUGUUCAAAUCCUUAAAUAUUUAGCUUGCGUAUGGAGCUUAUUUUGUUCAGUCUUUUUUCCUCCCUCUUACACACACCAGGGAUUUUGCUGCUUCUGCCCCUUGCUGCCAUGGGGAAGGCUGAGCGGCCGGUGAAGCUGGUGUCAGCAAUGGGGCUUGGUGCCCUGCACAUCCCCUCCCUCCCACCUUCCCCUGGCUCUCCCAGCUUCCCAAAUGAGCCCAGGCAGAUCUGGCAGUACCAGCUGGUUUUUUACUCUCCCUCUUCAUGGAAAAUCUCCCUUCAUGCAAGGAUAACUGAUCCAGACGGAGGUAUGUGGCUGGUGAAUCAGGUAUGACGAUUGUGGGAGAGGCUGAGCCUCAGAGCCAGCUCUUCUCCCAUGUGCUGGGGCUUCAGGAGCCCUGUCUCGCAGGGUUGUGCAGAAAUAUAACACAUUGCGCACACAGACUUUGCACAGACUGCAGAAAAAUGGCUCUUCCUCUUCUGAGAAUAGGUUUUGUAUUAUUUUCCUCUGUUUUGAGGUCCCUGCAGGACCAGAUAGCCCAGGAAAGGCAGCUCCCGACUAGUCACCCCAGCCCAGUCUCACAGGGGCUGUAACAGCCCCUGCCACCACCCUGACCCUUUCCAUGCCACUGUGGUCACUGGAGGAGCAGUUUGUAUCACUGAAGGGACCCUAUCACUCGCUACGCCUGCAGAGGGCUGUGCUAAAGCCGCUGAGUCCUGCUGCUGCCUGAACUGGUGGCAUGCUGAUGCUCACCCUGACAAGGGUGUCCAAAGCUGUCCUGGAGAUGGGUAGCUCUCCUGAGCCUAAAAUUCACUUUUCAUGUGAUGGAUGCAUCGGUGGGAAGAGUAUUUAACAUGAAAACAUCCACCCCUCAUUGCUCCCACCUAGGUGCAGCCCCAGCAGAAAUGAAGGCUCUGUCUGCCCUGGAGAGGACAGCGCCGGGAGAGCUUGUCUGAGCUGCAGGGACCACUCCAACGUGUUGGGUACCACAACCUUCCUGCAGGGGACAACGGUCCCACCAGGUCCUCUUGCUUUUCUUGCCCAUGGAGGAGCUUCGGGGAGGAAGAGCCUCUCUUGGAGGCACUACCUGGUCCAGCCUCAGCUGCUGUGAACAACUUGCAACAAGUAGCACCUCUAAACCAGUAUUUGCAGUUUCAAGAGGUGGAAAAACUGGAGCCAGCCCACACCUGCACUCAGGGGACAGGUCCAUGGUGGUGCAGGAGCAGCUGCCAUUCCCAGCGAAGGAUGACCAAAGAGGACUGAGCUCGCUAUCAUGGGGAACCAAAGAGUUUGCUUUUAGGCUUUCAGAGAAGAAGCACUGAUCUUCGGAAAUCACAGCCCCCACACUCUCCACUAAUUGUACAGCCUCAGAACCUGCAGGGGAUGCUCUCCUCUCCAUAGGCUUGCUGCAGAUUUAAAUCCCAGGAGCAACUUCAUCAAGGUAGACAUCAUGGUCUCCAGGUCCUUCUUGGAUGUUUUCAUGGAGCUAUAUGAGUGCUGGAGACUGGCACCAACCCCUGGCCCUGUGCUGUGCUGGACCUCGGGAACAUGGCAUUGUCACACAGGCCAGGCAGGUGAAGCUCGAAGGCUACAGCAGAGCCACGACAUGAAAGGGAUCCCUAGGAUGCACCGAGGAUUAGAAAAGUCAUGGUCCCAAAAAGAUUUCUGGUCUACCACCAUCCUUCAUAGCAAGAGGUUCCUGAAGAGCCCCCCCAGUCCGUCCUCUCCCCCAGUGCCGCAGCAGGACUUCACAUAGCAAAGCAUUUGUCUGCUGCGAAGCCACAAGUCACAUCUUUGCAGUGACAGCUGUGUAUGUUUGGGGAUGCAGCAAGUGUCGAUACUGGCCUCUGGGGGGGCUGGGGGAGCCCAGCGUGGGCAGCAGGGCUGGACUGGCGCACAGCUGGACACAUGUGGCUGGCUGCCCUCCUUCCCAAGCAGGGGCUGAACCCUUCCCUGCCAAGGGGCUCGAGGCCGCGAGCUGUAAGUACCCAAAUGUCAAAAGGAAACAUCACUCUCAUGGGGACCUGCCCAUGCACUGUGGUGGGGCUCAUCCAAAUUUUGGACAGGGUGCAAACUUUUGCACUUAAAGACCUGUAAAUCAUGACACACAGUUAAAAAAAUGCCCUUUAGACACUUAGUUCAGACACUACUUUCCCCUGAAUGUAACCUCCUGGUAACCUGUGUUGUUAUAGCAUCCGACAGGAUGAUUAGAAAAAUAAGUAGUAGUAAUUCUCCACAGAGCUACUGCAAAAUAGCCUGCAAGCAAAAUGAAGAUCGAUCGCUGUUUAGGGGAAAAGCAAUGCGAUGAUCUGAAAUCAGGAAAGCAAAUCAAGCAGAGAUUUCCUGUGACAAAAGGCUUUCAAUGAGAUUAAUGUAAUUGAGUGGAAGGGAAAGGAAGAACCACAACAUUCUGAAUUAAGCAUGUAAGCAAGUUCAGCAAAUAAUUUCUGACCUGUUGAAGCAGAGGACGUGGUUUUGCUUGGAUUUACUGCCCCCAGAUAUUUCUGUAUGAGGAUCUAGGUCUGUCCAGCUGCCGAAGUGUCACUCUGGAUUUACGCUAGUGUAAAAGGGAGCAAAAUACAGCCUGCAUCUGGUGUGAGGUGCGUGAAUUUGGAAAGGUAAAGAAAAAAGUGUGCAUGGAAUAGUCCUGGAGAAGAGGGCUUCCCGCUAGAGUGAUGGUUUCUGCUGGGGAGACCAGUCUUCUGCGGCUCAAAGGCAGCUUGUGCCUUAACCUUUAGCAAUAGUAAAAGGAAGCAAGUAGUAAAAGUACUGCUUGGCAAUGGGAAAAAAAAAGACGAAGGGAUGCGGGGGCUGUGGGGCGGCAGGUGGCAGCGUGUGGGGUGCAGGGCAGAAGGGCUUGGGGCAGGUUGGUGCUGGAGGGGCACAUCGGGGCUUUCCCACCCCGCUAUGCCCAGAGCCCACCUCCACCCACAGCCUGGUUUAUUGGCUGCUGCUGGCUCCUCGGCACGGGGCACGGGAUGGCUCAGGCGGGAGGGAAGCCCGUCUGUGCGGCUGAGCCCACGCAGGAGACCCUGCCACCGUGUCGCUGCUGAGGGCCAUCCCACUGCUGUACGCACGGGUCUCCAUGGCUAAGGGGGACAGCUCUGCCCUCGCAGCAACGUAGGAUCCGUGUCCUUCUUCCUAUGACGACCAAAGGUUAUGGGCACAUCAGUAGUAGCUGCGUUUUAGUACCCCAGGGUUUCAAUAAAACCAUUCUAUAACUCUGCCAUCUUGUAGCAAAGUAGAAAAUUGCUUUUAAAAAUAAUAAUUAUUUCCCACACCUGCAAGUUUUUAAACUUGAGGGUCUAGGAGGCAAAAAUAAAUAUCACAUCUCACUUUGUUGUAUGUCUUCUGGUAAUACCAGCAGAAGAGGUUGUUUUUUUGCCUUGACCUUUUACUUCAGGGAGGAGAGGUUUCAUCUGCAUGCGAGACACACCGAACUGUGCUCCAGGCCACGGGUUCAUUGCUGGGAGAGGCGCUCGGUGCCGUAACCCACCUCAGGUCCCUGAAGCAACCCGACAAGUGCGAGCAGACUCGGUCACAUCACUGCGAUCCGGUGCCCGGCACUGAUGAAUAAGGAAGUCAGGAGAUAACGGAGAUGUUUCCUGAGGACCAGCCUCCCACAGGAGGUCUUGCCUUCUCCAAAAACACCAGUACUGUACUAAGCAACAUGGAGUUCUUCAGGUGGGAAGCCCACCUGUAUGUUGGAGAAUCCGGUGCGUUGUCAGGCCUUGGGACGAAAGGGUGCCUGUGCACGAGGUCAGGGGCUUUUAAGUGUUGUGCUGCGUGGAAUCCUCACCAGUGAUGAGCAGUUGGAUAACACAGAUAAAUGGAAACAGAUCAGAUGAAACAGCAACUUUUUGGGACAGAGGCACCAUCAUCUUUCAUGAAUGAUGCAAGAUGGAUUUGAAUCUGAUUUGUCACCUCUCCUUUGCCAAGUCACUGCUAGUUCGUAAAUGAUCGGAUAACCUCCUUUCUGAAAAAUCCAAGUUUAUGGAACACUCUUUCCCCCUGCCCUGUGCCUCUGUGAGCCCCCUGGCUGUUUUCCUGUCUCUGGUCUCCCACAGAAGUUUCACAGUUUAAUGAUUUAUUUGGGUCCAUGUGGCAAGGUAUGGCCAUUUGUCCAUAAAGGCAGGAUCCCUUGAGGACAUGAGACCCAAAGAGGUGACUUUGAAAACGAGAAAAUGGCCCUGUAUCAUCACUUUUGACUUUUUUUCUGGGCUGUUUCUAGCUGUUCCAUUUUGGUGCCUGUGGGUGCACAGUGCACCGUUAGCUCCAGGUUAGCCGAUGACUUGAGCAGUGCCGUGCCGCAGCCACCAGCCACCCCAGCACCCAGGAAGGCUGGUGACGUGCCUACUCGCCAGCUCCAUGCCCCGGACGGGGUGGCCUGGGGGUGAUGCCGUGGCCCCUGCUGGCUGGGGCGGAGAGUGGGGCUGGAUGCAGUGGCAAGGGCUGGGGAGAGCUUCCCCGUACGUCCUGUAAAAAAUGCCACCACAUGGGGCAAUAGAGCCAUUGCUGUAGGGGAAAAACUCUCCCAGCUAAACUGCAUGCUCUCAUCUGCAUACAUAAAAAACCAAGCUGUAAUGUAGUUUAAAAGACAAGUGGAAAAAUAAACAUGGGGUACGCAGGGCAAUGAAACAAAAUGGUUCUUAUAUUUAUAUAAGAGCAAAAGGUUUUUUUCAGCUCAAGAAAUCAAUAAUGUGAUAUUAAUGAGGCUGAACAGGCUGAUGUACAGCCUGAAGAGCGCUAAUUAUCUGUUCCACACCAUGUGUGCAGGACAUAGGUAAAAUUCAUUCAAAACAGAGGCACCUGUGUGAUGUAUGGCUACAGCACGGUACGGUGGGGAAUUGCUGCAGCCGGCCCUGGCACGAAGCACUGCUGGCUUUGCAAACAAUGCUAUCCUCAUGUCGUCUUUGUUUUCUUCCUCCUUAGACACAUGAAUGUAAACUGUAAACAAAUUAAACUUUGCAUCUGGAAUUUUAAUAAAGGUGAAGAUGUUCCACACCCAAA